CGCUCAGCACAAGAAUCGCUCGUCGCAGCACACGAACGAGAUGGCGAGUAUUCAGUCUCGCCCAUCCUCAAUCGCGCUGUGGGUGAAAGUCCCCGGAGCCUUCGUUCCGCUUUUUGAGUUUUGCCCGCCUUACUCCUCCAUGACGUUCAUUCAACCUUCUUUAGACGGAAACUGGACGUUCGCUUGCAGACUCUGAGUACUACUAGUCGGUAUCUGGCGUUGCCAGAGGAAGCCUCUGAUACUGGCUUCGGAGGAGAGCUGGAGAUCAGGAAAGCACUUGUACCUGAGAAUACGAGACGAUCUCUAGUAAUCCCGAGAAGCUGGCCAGUGGUGGACGAAGCUACAACGGGCCGACGGACGGCUCAGAUUACAGUCUGUUGGGCUCUCUACAAUUUCCGUUCUUUUGGGUGGCUUGACUCAAACGACUGGGAUCGAGUUGGUGAUCGAGUAGGACAUUGAAGCUGUUUGGCCCGGACCGCAAGGACGACCACUCUUCGUCCUUCUUGGCAGCGCUCAUGCGCUUUUCCGCCUCAUCUUCUCCCUUGCGCGACAAUGGCGCCACUUCCAAUCAACUCGCAUCCUGCCUCACAAGCUCGGAUAGGGUGUGUGCUUACUCAAUAGCUGGGGUGACGGUGAUGCGCGAAGAGACGAGCCAUCAUCCUCUCGCCCUGUUUAUUGGGUAACUCACAUACUUCGCUGAAACUUUCGGCUAGCCGUGUUUUGCGCUGUGCGGAAUGCUUUCAAGUGAUGGAGCAAGUGUGUUGUCGUUGUCCUCCAGUGGAUUGGCUCUGUGAUGGAUGAAUCGCAAGGAAGCAGGUACGGACUAAAUGUUCGCUCAUAGUUACAGUAAUGCGAUUACCCGCACGGCUUCGACCCUUGUCGUUGCUGAGGGUAACUCGAUGGGGCUUACUCUGUGUCUGGGC
rnacentral:RNase_MRP_RNA from 2 species